UGGGGAAUUUUGGACAAUGGGGGAAACCCUGAUCCAGCCAUCCCGCGUGUGCGAUGAAGGCCUUCGGGUUGUAAAGCACUUUUGGCAGGAAAGAAACGUCGCGGGUUAAUACCCCGCGAAACUGACGGUACCUGCAGAAUAAGCACCGGCUAACUACGUGCCAGCAGCCGCGGUAAUACGUAGGGUGCAAGCGUUAAUCGGAAUUACUGGGCGUAAAGCGUGCGCAGGCGGUUCGGAAAGAAAGAUGUGAAAUCCCAGAGCUUAACUUUGGAACUGCAUUUUUAACUACCGGGCUAGAGUGUGUCAGAGGGAGGUGGAAUUCCGCGUGUAGCAGUGAAAUGCGUAGAUAUGCGGAGGAACACCGAUGGCGAAGGCAGCCUCCUGGGAUAACACUGACGCUCAUGCACGAAAGCGUGGGGAGCAAACAGGAUUAGAUACCCUGGUAGUCCACGCCCUAAACGAUGUCAAACUAGCUGUUGGGGCCUUCGGGCCUUGGUAGCGCAGCUAACGCGUGAAGUUGACCGCCUGGGGAGUACGGUCGCAAGAUUAAAACUUAAAGGGAAUUGACGGGGUCAUAGCUGUUUCCU
rnacentral:rRNA from 1 species